rnacentral:rRNA from 1 species
UACGGAGGGUGCGAGCGUUGUCCGGAAUCACUGGGCGUAAAGGGCGCGUAGGCGGCCUGGUAAGUAGGGGGUGAAAUCCUGCGGCUUAACCGCAGGGCUGCCUUCUAAACUGUCAGGCUCGAGCACGGUAGAGGCAGAUGGAAUUCCCGGUGUAGCGGUGGAAUGCGUAGAGAUCGGGAAGAACACCAGUGGCGAAGGCGGCAUCCUGGCCCUGACCUGACGCUGAGGCGCGAGAGCGUGGGGAGCAAACGGG